UAACGGGGAAUCAGGGUUCGAUUCCGGAGAGGGAGCCUGAGAAAUGGCUACCACGUCCAAGGAUGGCAGCAGGCGCGCAAAUUACCCACUCCCAGCUUGGGGAGGUAGUGACGAAAAAUAACAAUGCGGGACUCUAAGAGGCCCCGUAAUUGGAAUGAGUACACCUUAAAUCGUUUAACGAGUAUCAAUUGGAGGGCAAGUCUGGUGCCAGCAGCCGCGGUAAUUCCAGCUCCAAUAGCGUAUAUUAAAGUUGCUGCAGUUAAAAAGCUCGUAGUUGGAUCUGGGGCUUGAGGUCGCUGUCUAUCGUUUCGGCGAUGACGGUGAUGCUCAGCUCUGCUUGCCGGUGACUGUUGCGGUGUUCUUCACUGAGCGCUGUAGCAGCACGGCACGUUUACUUUGAAAAAAUUAGAGUGCUCAAAGCGUGCUUGUCGCUUGAAUAAUGUUGCAUGGAAUAAUGGAAUAGGACCUCGGUUCUAUUUUGUUGGUUUUCGGAGCUUGAGGUAAUGAUUAAGAGGGACGAACGGGGGCAUUCGUAUUGCGGUGUUAGAGGUGAAAUUCUUGGAUCGCCGCAAGACGGACUACUGCGAAAGCAUUUGCCAAGAACGCUUUCAUUAAUUAAGAACGAAAGUCAGAGGUUCGAAGACGAUCAGACACCGUCCUAGUUCUGACCAUAAACGAUGCCGACCAGCGAUCCGUAGUGGUUGCUUUAUGGACCCUACGGGCAGCCUCCGGGAAACCAAAGUAUUUGGGUUCCGGGGGAAGUAUGGUUGCAAAGCUGAAACUUAAAGGAAUUGACGGAAGGGCACACCAGGAGUGGAGCCUGCGGCUUAAUUUGACCCAACACGGGAAAACUCACCCGGUCCGGACACCGUAAGGAUUGACAGACUGAUAGCUCUUUCUUGAUUCGGUGGAUGGUGGUGCAUGGCCGUUCUUAGUUGGUGGAGUGAUUUGUCUGGUUAAUUCCGAUAACGAACGAGACUCUAGCCUGCUAAGUAGUGUUGCUAUUGUUAUAUGGUUGACACUUCUUAGAGGGACAAGUGGCAUUUAGCCACGCGAAAUUGAGCAAUAACAGGUCUGUGAUGCCCUUAGAUGUCCGGGGCCGCACGCGCGCUACACUGGAGAAGUCAGCGUGUGUUAUCCAAGUCCGAAAGGACUGGGUAAUCCGUUGAACCUUCUUCGUGCUUGGGACUGUGGCUUGGAACUAUUCCACAUGAACGAGGAAUUCCUAGUAAUUGCAAGUCAUAAGCUUGCGUUGAUUACGUCCCUGCCCUUUGUACACACCGCCCGUCGCUACUACCGAUUGAAUGGUUUAGCAAGGUCCUCGGAUCGUGGCCGUAGGGGCACGCAAGUGUUUCUGCGGUUUGCGAGAAGACGACCAAACUUGAUCAUUUAGAGGAAGUAAAAGUCGUAACAAGGUU
rnacentral:rRNA from 1 species